GGAGGCACACAAUAGAAACAGAACUUCAACAACAGGGAAUAAAUAAAUUACGUGAACUAAUUAAAUGCAAGGAUAAAUAAUUCAGACGUCAAUGCUGUGGGAAAUAAAAGAAAUGUAACAGUGUAUAAACAAACUUAAAUGCUCGGCAGAUGCAUCACUCUUCGUUUCAACUUCCAAAAGAAAUAAACAAGAACCCCUGCAGCCUACAUUGCAACGUUAAAGCGUCAAAAGAAGUGGCGGCUGGUCCUCGGUAGCAAUCCCGAGACCUCCUCCUCCUCGUAAAAAAAUGAAUCAUCCAACCUAGAAGUAAGCGCCUUCCAUGGACCAUGCUUGUUGGAUUGCUGCAACUCCAAGCCCAAUAUUAGCUGCUGUAACGAAUAUACUGCAAGCUACCAGAUGCUGCAAGCUGCUGGAUUCUCUUUACUUCAAGCACCUUGCUGGACCACUUCUUCUCUACACCGCAUGCUGCACAUGGGCCGCACCUCCUAGCUUGAUGGAUGCGUGAAGGGAUCUACACCAGGCCGUGAAGGUUGGACGCUGCUGUCUCAACUUCAAAUGUGGAUGGGCUGCUGCAGGUUGCACCGUGAAGAGUUGCUAGAUGCACCGCUAAACGCUGCUCAAGCAAUGCUGGCUGCAACCUUUUAUUAAGUUGGACCAGCUGCUGCACGUGAACAUGAGGAACUGCUGCUUGCUUCCAGACCAGGCCCUGAAGUUGC
rnacentral:lncRNA from 1 species